UACGAAGGGGGCGAGCGUUGUUCGGAUUUACUGGGCGUAAAGGGCGCGCAGGCGGUCGUUCAAGUCGAGUGUGAAAGCCCCCGGCUCAACUGGGGAGGGUCAUUCGAUACUGAUCGACUCGAAGGCAGGAGAGGGAAGUGGAAUUCCCGGUGUAGUGGCGAAAUGCGUAGAUAUCCGGAGGAACACCAGUGGCGAAGGCGACUUUCUGGCCUGUUCUUGACGCUGAGGCGCGAAAGCUAGGGGAGCAAACGGG
rnacentral:rRNA from 1 species